GGCAAAGAGAUGUUCAAACAAAAACUUUUCUAAAGUGUGGAGUAUCAUUUUUAUUAUGGCAUCCCUAAAGCUUUGUUUUAUUCUCUCAAUUCUCCUUAUGUUAAUGUGCCGUGGAUUUCAAUCACACAAGUCAUAGCUACGUCACUGGAUGUUGAUCAUGAUCUCUCUAUAAUCGAGAAGAGGCUACUCCCUCAACUUAAUUGGUGUUUUAGUCCUUGUACUUCAGAUAGUGACUGCAGUAAUUGUUGGAUAUGUUGUACUUGUUCGUAUAACAGUGUAGAUAAUCAAUCUUCGUGUAGGAUUUAAGAUAUUUCAAAUGUUUUUGUCGUCUUUCUUAUUUAUUUGUCAUUUAAUUUUAAACUUUGUAUGAAUAAUGAAAAAAAGAUGAGCGAAUAACUUUCUAUUCAACAA